rnacentral:tRNA from 1 species
CUGCUUGUGGCCUAGUGGGUAAGGUUACAGUCUUGGAAACACGGGAUCCUAGGUUCAAACCCAGCUAGGGACA